rnacentral:rRNA from 1 species
GUGACUGCGUACCUUUUGUAUAAUGGGUCAGCGACUUAUAUUUAGUAGCAAGGUUAAGCGAAUAGCGGAGCCGUAGCGAAAGCGAGUGUUAACUGCGCGUUUAGUUGCUAGGUAUAGACCCGAAACCCGGUGAUCUAGCCAUGGGCAGGUUGAAGGUUGAGUAACAUCAACUGGAGGACCGAACCCACUAACGUUGAAAAGUUAGGGGAUGACUUGUGGCUGGGGGUGAAAGGCCAAUCAAACCGGGAGAUAGCUGGUUCUCCCCGAAAUCUAUUUAGGUAGAGCCUCGGACGAAUUCCAUUGGGGGUAGAGCACUGUUAAGGCUAGGGGGUCAUCCCGACUUACCAACCCUUUGCAAACUCCGAAUACCAAUGAGAACUAUCCGGGAGACACACGGCGGGUGCUAACGUCCGUCGUGAAGAGGGAAACAACCCAGACCGCCAGCUAAGGUCCCAAAAUAUUGCUAAGUGGGAAACGAUGUGGGAAGGCAUAGACAGCUAGGAGGUUGGCUUAGAAGCAGCCACCCUUUAAAGAAAGCGUAAUAGCUCACUAGUCGAGUCGGCCUGCGCGGAAGAUGUAACGGGGCUAAGCAAUAUACCGAAGCUGCGGAUACGUGUUUACACGUAUGGUAGGGGAGCGUUGUGUAAGUGGAUGAAGGUGGAUUGAGAAGUCUGCUGGACAUAUCACAAGUGCGAAUGCUGACAUGAGUAACGAUAAUGGGAGUGAAAAACUCCCACGCCGGAAGACCAAGGUUUCCUGUCCCAUGCUAAUCAGGGCAGGGUAAGUCGGCCCCUAAGGCGAGGCAGAAAUGCGUAGUCGAUGGGAAACGGAUUAAUAUUUCCGUACUUAUAUAAUCAGUGAUGGAGGGACGGAGAAGGCUAAGCAAGCUUGGCGUUGGUUGUCCAAGUGAAAGCAAGUAGGCCGAGAAUUUAGGUAAAUCCGGAUUCUUAAAGCUGAGAUGCGAGACGAGCUACUACGGUAGUGAAGUUGUUGAUGCCCUGCUUCCAGGAAAAGCUUCUAAACUUAUGAUUAUAUGAACCGUACCCCAAACCGACACAGGUGGUCAGGUAGAGAAUACUAAGGCGCUUGAGAGAACUCGGGUGAAGGAACUCGGCAAAAUUGUACCGUAACUUCGGGAGAAGGUACGCCCUUGUUUGUGAUAGGACUUGCUCCUUGAGCAGAUGAGGGCCGCAGUGACCAGGUGGCUGGGACUGUUUAUUAAAAACACAGCACUCUGCUAACUCGCAAGAGGACGUAUAGGGUGUGACACCUGCCCGGUGCCGGAAGGUUAAUUGAUGGGGUUAUCUUCGGAGAAGCUCUUGAUCGAAGCCCCGGUAAACGGCGGCCGUAACUAUAACGGUCCUAAGGUAGCGAAAUUCCUUGUCGGGUAAGUUCCGACCUGCACGAAUGGUGUAACCAUGGCCACGCUGUCUCCACCCGAGACUCAGUGAAAUUGAAAUCGCAGUGAAGAUGCUGUGUACCCGCACCUAGACGGAAAGACCCCGUGAACCUUUACUACAGCUUGGCACUGAACAUUGAACCUACAUGUGUAGGAUAGGUGGGAGGCUUCGAAGCACAGUCGCUAGAUUGUGUGGAGCCGUCCUUGAAAUACCACCCUUGUACGUUUGAUGUUCUAACAUUGGUCCCUUAUCGGGAUUAUGGACAGUGUCUGGUGGGUAGUUUGACUGGGGCGGUCUCCUCCCAAAUAGUAACGGAGGAGCACGAAGGUUAGCUAAUCACGGUCGGACAUCGUGAGGUUAGUGCAAUGGCAUAAGCUAGCUUAACUGCGAGACAGACACGUCGAGCAGGUACGAAAGUAGGUCAUAGUGAUCCGGUGGUUCUGUAUGGAAGGGCCAUCGCUCAACGGAUAAAAGGUACUCCGGGGAUAACAGGCUGAUACCGCCCAAGAGUUCAUAUCGACGGCGGUGUUUGGCACCUCGAUGUCGGCUCAUCACAUCCUGGGGCUGAAGUCGGUCCCAAGGGUAUGGCUGUUCGCCAUUUAAAGUGGUACGCGAGCUGGGUUUAGAACGUCGUGAGACAGUUCGGUCCCUAUCUGGUGUGGGCGUUGGAUGAUUGAUGGGAGCUGCUCCUAGUACGAGAGGACCGGAGUGGACGAACCGCUGGUGUUCGGGUUGUCAUGCCAAUGGCAUUGCCCGGUAGCUACGUUCGGAACGGAUAACCGCUGAAAGCAUCUAAGCGGGAAGCCGGCCCAGAGAUGAGUCAUCCCUGACUUUUAAAGUCCGGAAGGGUUGUUAUAGACGAUGACGUUGAUAGGCAGGAUGUGGAAGCGUUGUAAGGCGUUAAGCUAACCUGUACUAAUUGCCCGAGAGGCUUAACCAU